GAUGAACGCUGGCGGCGUGCCUAACACAUGCAAGUCGAGCGAUUUACUUCGGUAAAGAGCGGCGGACGGGUGAGUAACGCGUGGGUAACCUGCCCUGUACACACGGAUAACAUACCGAAAGGUAUGCUAAUACGAGAUAAUAUACUUUUAUCGCAUGGUAGAAGUAUCAAAGCUUUUGCGGUACAGGAUGGACCCGCGUCUGAUUAGCUAGUUGGUAAGGUAACGGCUUACCAAGGCGACGAUCAGUAGCCGACCUGAGAGGGUGAUCGGCCACAUUGGAACUGAGACACGGUCCAAACUCCUACGGGAGGCAGCAGUGGGGAAUAUUGCACAAUGGGCGAAAGCCUGAUGCAGCAACGCCGCGUGAGCGAUGAAGGCCUUCGGGUCGUAAAGCUCUGUCCUCAAGGAAGAUAAUGACGGUACUUGAGGAGGAAGCCCCGGCUAACUACGUGCCAGCAGCCGCGGUAACAC
rnacentral:rRNA from 1 species